GNAGACGCUGCGGCAGGCCUAAUACAUGCAAGUCGUACGGGAUUCGGUCUUUCGGGACUGAUGAGAGUGGCGGACGGGUGCGUAACGCGUAUGCNACCUACCUUAUACUGCGGGAUAGCCCGGGGAAACCCGGAUUAAUACCGCAUGGUACAUUAUUCUCGCAUGGGGGUAUUGUUAAAGAUUUAUCGGUAUAAGCUGGGCAUGCGUAGGAUUGGUUAGUUGGCGGGGUAACGGCCCACCAAGACUGUGAUCCUUAGGGGUUCUGAGAGGAAGGUCCCCCACACUGGCACUGAGAUACGGGCCAGACUCCUACGGGAGGCAGCAGUAGGGAAUAUUGGGCAAUGGGCGGAAGCCUGACCCAGCCAUGCCGCGUGCAGGAAGACGGCGUUCUGCGUUGUAAACUGCUUUUAUCAGGGAAGAAAAAGUCCAUGCGUGGAAAAUUGCCGGUACCUGGUGAAUAAGCACCGGCUAACUCCGUGCCAGCAGCCGCGGUAAUACGGAGGGUGCAAGCGUUGUCCGGAUUUAUUGGGUUUAAAGGGUGCGUAGGCGGCUAGUUAAGUCAGCGGUGAAAGUUUUCGGCUCAACCGGAAAAAUGCCGUUGAUACUGUCUGGCUUGAGUCACGGAAGGGUACAUGGGAAUUGGUGGUGUAGCGGUGAAAUGCACAGAUACCAUCAGGAACACCGAUAGCGAAGGCAUUGGUACUUGCCGUGAACUGACGCUGAGGCACGAAAGCGCGGGUAGCGAACAGGAUUAGAUACCCUGGUAGUCCGCGCCGUAAACGAUGAUC
rnacentral:rRNA from 1 species